rnacentral:pre_miRNA from 1 species
AUCACCUGGGGAUCUUGUUAAAACAUGGAUUCUGAUUCGGUAGGUUUGGAGUAGAAUCUGAGAUUUUGCAUUUCUAACAAGAUCCCCAGUGAUGCCUA